rnacentral:lncRNA from 1 species
CUCAUAUCAAGGCGGAACGGCGCGAGGAGAAUCCAUUUUUGUUAUGGGCAAGUCGGUAGCCUAGAAGACAAUACGCAUGAGUCAGGGAGUUAAGCAGGUUUUUCCCCAAAUUCAGCUACGUUCCUUUGGAGUCCCAGCCUCUGAUCGGAGAGAGAGCUUUUCUGCGACUUUUGCCCACUUCAGGUUACAGUUACCUAUUUAGGAAAAGGGAAAUGAUUCGUCCCAAAGGUCAUUUGAAGAGUUUCUCUUUUUUUUUCAUUCCUCUGCGCCAAGCAGUGUUUGAAGAGCAGGGCAUAUAAGGAUGUAAAGAUAAGUAAGCCGCGGGUCCUGCCUUUCUGGCACUCACACUGUGGCGGGGUAGGCACGCGGGCAAAUACAUAUAAUAGGGUUGUAUAAUAAGCAAAGGUGAAGAAGAUGAAAUGUUCAUCUUGGUGGGGCUUUAGACGCAGGGAUUUCAAAGAAACGGAAGCUGAACAGGCUGGAUGAGGGCUGGAGAAGUGGUGAUCCAGACCCCCCGGUACAUAGUUGUGUAUUCUUCGUUGUGGGUUCCUCUAGUUGUGGCAUGUGGGACGCUGCCUCAGCGUGGUCUGACGAGCAGUGCCAUGUCCGCGCCCAGGAUUCGAACCGACGAAACACUGGGCCGCCUGCAGCGGAGCGCGCGAACUUAACCACUCGGCCACGGGGCCAGCCCCUAAAAUUAACCAUUUUAAAGUACACAAGUGAGUGGCAUUUAGUGCAUUCACAGUGUUGUGCAACAAUCACCUGUCUCCAGUUUCAAAACCGUUCCUCACCACAGAAGAAUACCCUAUGUGCAAUAAGCAAUCACUCCCCCUUCCUCCCUGUCCCCCAUUCUCUGGUAACUGUCAAUCUGCUUGGUGUCUCUGUGGAUUUACCUACUUCAUGUAUUUCAUAGUCAUACAGUAUGGGAUCUUUUGUGGCUGUUUUCUUUCACUUAGCAUAGCGUUUUCGAGGCUCGUCCCAGUUGUAGCAUGUAUCAGUACUUCAUUGCUUUAUAUGGCUGAAUAAUAAUCCAUUGGAUGUAUAUACCACAAUUUAUUUAUCCGUUCAUGCGUUGAUGAACAUUUGGGUUGUUUCCAUCUCUUGGCUAUUGCAAAUAGUGCUGCU